rnacentral:lncRNA from 1 species
UUCAGGCCCACCUCCACCAUGUACAAGCUGUGUUACCUGUGGCUAGGCCAUCAUCAAGGAGAGCCCAGCUCUCCCAAUCUUUAAAACAGAAUGUGAGUGAUAACCCUCUCUCUCAUAAUAAUGCCCAGCACAAUAAGUAGGAACUUCAUUCUUUGGCUCAGGUCAAAAGUUUUGUAGUCAUUCUUAAUUUUCAUCUUGCUCUCCUGCCUCUGAUCUCUAGCUAUCAGCAUAUCCUUUUCUUUGUUUGGAAUAGAUGAAGAAUCCAAAGUCAGUCAUGUCUCUCCUUCCAUUCCUAGGGCAUCUUUUCUGAGAGGCUUGCUCGGGUCAUCCUGUAUCACAUCCAUUUGUCUUCCCUUUUCUCCUAAGUUACCUUGUCCGUGGGACUUCAAACAUAGUAUGUAUGUCUGUUUUCUCUGUACCCCACUAGAUGAUAAGCUCCCUGAGAACAGGGAUUUUUAAUGUUCUGUUUACUGCUGUAUCCUCAUCAAUUGGUGUAUUGUCUGCCACUAAAUCAUUCCUGUGAGAAUCCAUGUCAAAGCAAGCAUUUAACCCUCUGAUUAAUCUAGAAAAUAUAUGUAAACCACCUAGCAGAGUACAUCAGUGUCAUGCAAUUUGAAUCACAGGGAGCUUUUUUGUUACUCUUCAGCAACACUAACUUCAAAUUCUAGGCUACUGCAUGAGAAUCUCCCAAAGGACAAGUUGCUAAAUCUUUUAGAAUAGAGAAAAAAAUAUCAAGCUGAUUGUAUCAAAAGCAGUGUACAGGGCUUGCUUGCAUAGAAAUCUGUGACACUGACGCAUGGCUGUGACUGCUUGAUAGCAGUGUUUUUGAACACCUGGUUGCUAAUGACCAGCAUCAGAAUCACCUGGGAUGCAUAUUAACUGCAGAUACCUAAGACCCAAGCCCAGAUCUUCAUGUGAGAACUGAUUUAUAGCCAUGCUUUGUACAUUGCUCUUGUUGGGACAUUUACAUUGACGGCAGUAUCCCAUUUCGCCAGGUGUCAGUAUAUACUGAGUAUCUAGUAAGUAGCCCCAGGAACCAGGUGCUGAAUCAAGAAAAAUGGUACCAUGCUUGAAGUUAUCUAACAUACAUGGAUUGGUUGGACAUACCAGUACUGGAUGGAUCAGAAUGCAAAUAUUAAAUGUACACCUGAACUUGAAGUUGAGUAUUACUGUAACCUGAGCAGAUAAAGAUGGUUGGGAGAAUGUAAGGAUUGGGGUUCUCUCUGUAAAGGAAGAGACAAGGCAGUAGGCCUCUAGCUGGAUAUGUCAGAACUGUCUGAUCCAGGAGAGGCAGAGGGUCAUGAUGGAAAAUUAGAAACUCUAUUAUGCAUCUAUUUUUAUCAAUCUUAUAGACACAGAUCUACCUAGGAAAAUCUUUUUAAAAGGAGAAUGCAGAGCAGUGUGGUAUGAUCUGUAAGAAUUGUCCAAAUGCCCAGAAUCUGUACUUUCCUCACAUAGUAUAUAAUGAUAUUGACUUCUAUUAAACUAUAAUCAGUGUCAUUUUAGUGAUGGUAAAAGAGAAUUAGCAUUACUAAUUCCAGACUUAGAAUUCUGAAAAUAUUUUCAUUGCUUUAAUAAAAUAUAGGAAAGAAAGAGUAUUAUCAGUGUGUAAAUUGAUAUUUUCACUAGAAUUCACUAGGAGUUACCUAGGUGGAUGGAGACUUCAGCCAAGGUCACUAAAAUCCACAGGCCCAAGCAAGGCUUGUAGUGAGAUGACUUUGGGUUCCAUUACUUGGUGAUGAAAUGAGAUAAAAUGUGACUCUUAAUAGCAGCAAGUUACUUUUCUGAGAAUAUUGAAAAUUAAUAUGACUUAUUUGAGUAACUUCUGAUAAAAGAAACUAAUCUUCGAAGUGAAAGAUUGAAUGACUUAAAUUUUUAUUAAAUAUGCUAAUCUGGGGUGAUUUCUUACUACAGCCGUCCCUGCUUCAUUGUGCUUGUCAUAUGUUUCCAAGAUAGACUCUAAACCAUGCCCUUGAUUCGACCUUAUCAUUUCAAAUUCAUAAAAUGUAGCCCUCCAAUUCCUUUUUCAUCACCAGUGCACACUCAGCUUGGCAGGAUAGUAACAGUUAUAUUCUUCUACUUGUCAUAGUACUUGGGGGAGUGUCUCCACCUAAUUUCAUAGGGUAUUUGGAACCCUGAAAAUGAAUUUCUCAUAAUUUGGCUGGAAUGAGUAUCUGUAUGGAAUUUUGGCAGCUGAACAGAAGACUGAACUAUAGCCUUACGUGGGUGUCUUCUAUUUAUUACUAUAGGAUUAAAAAAACAAAAAACAAAAAAAACCUCCAAAGCAAAAGCAGCUUCAGUAUUUCUGUCUGGUAAGAGCUAAGGGACAGUGUUAUGUUGAAAUGGGGAGAGCCUUAGAAAGCUGUACUUUGAAUAGCAAGUACUGUAUUGACAGAACAUUUGUCUCAUAUCUGAACAGCUCUGCUUCUGAGACUAAAUUAAAUUUAUGAACCACAAAAAUUAUUUGAGUAUCUCCUCCAUUCCAAACAUAUAAAGGCUCAUUAGUGAGAGAUUUGUUUGUGGGAAUAUAUGUUGUGAGAGUAUCUGACUUAGAGCACACCCUGUUUGACUUUGGUUGUGACAAAGGUUUCUUGGCCAAUAUGGCUGAGAACACUACCUGGUUUUAUUGCCAUUGUUGUAGUGCUGUUGGACUGGGGCAUGGACCACACAUGCAUGCCUGUGCCAGAAAUGUGAAAUUGAGUAUUAGUGUAAAUGGAAGUGCCUAAAGUGUUACGAAUCAUAGUCUCCAUGUAUCAGUGGGUUGAUACUCUAAAUUAAUAACAUUUUAGGAUUUAGACUGCUAUAAAUUAGCAGCUUGAGAAAUCUGAUGCGCUGUUAGUGAUUUCCAUCAACGUAGUCAUUGUUAGAAUCAUGUGUCUUAUAUAAUCUCUAGCAAAAUGAAGAAGUAAAUUCUUUUUUUUUUUUUGGUGGGGCAUAUGGAAGUUCCCAGGCUAGAGGUUGAAUCAGAGCUGCAUCUGUGACCUAUACCACAGCUCGUGGCAAUGUUGCAUCCUUAACCCACGGAGCGAGGUCAGGGAUCGAACCCAUAUCAUUAUGGAUACUAGUCGGGUUCAUUACCACUGAGCCACAAUGGAACUCUGAAGAAAGUAAAUUCUUUAGUCUAAAUUCUAUUUGAUGGCCUUUUGGGUCUUAUUUCAUGUAGUUUGGUAAUUUUAGUGUGUUCUCUGCCAGGGAAGUUGUAACAUAGCAAGUGCCAAAGUUGACAGGAUCAGUGAAACAAGGGGUGUGUUACUUGAGAUUGCCUGGAGCAACAUGUUUAUGCCCCAAGCUUUACUCCCAACUAAAAUGGGGUUUCUUGGAUUCAAAUUUUUAUCCAUCAUACUUGUAAAUGGUAUAUUUUAGUGCAAACUUGUCCAAUGCUGUUAGAUUAUUUUGGCUUACGGAGUAAAAUGACAUUUGUUUAAAAAAAUAAAACAAAACUUUGUUUUUGUUUUUCACCAUAUUGUGACCCUGUAAUACUGUUUUUAAUAUUGGGAAAAUAAGAUUUUCUGUUGAUCAAACUGCUGAAAAUACGUGUCAGCAAAAGAAUAUUCUAUGAACCAUGAAGAAAGUUGUCAAAAUUCACACCAUGGCCUAAUUAAGCAUUUUCUCCAAACAUUCCUCAAAGCUCUACAGUAUUUGUAAAUUGUCUGUUACUUAGUAAUAGAAUUACUCAUAGGAAUUACCUCUUUAAUAUAGUUAUGAUAAGUAAGUCUUAUGGAGGAUAUAAUUAUGAAAAUAUCAUUCUUUUGAACUUUCAGUGAAGUCAUGUUCCUAAUACUGAUAUUAACUGGUGUAAGGUAGAAGUAUAGCAUGAUAAGGAUGCUUGAUAAAGGCUUAAGGAAGGUAGAGAUCAUUUUACUAUUAUGCUUGUAUAAAUAAAAACUUGGUAGUAAAAUACAUAUUAAAUACCAUAGGUCAGCUUGUAAUUUAGAGAAACCCGGAACUGAAGAAAUAAUGAAGUAUCUUCUCUGCAAUAUAAGUAAUAUUUUUUAUUCCAAACUAUCUGGGUUUUUUUGUAUCUUUGUCUUAUGUAUUAUAUUUGAUUUUAUUUUCAAAGCCAGGCAGCCCUGUGAUUGUGUGUUUUAAAAUUAAAUAUAGUAUUUAGCUUAAUAGGAUGGAAAAUAUACUUCAUUGUACCUGUACUGUUCCCACAGUGUCUAAGUCGUAAAAAAAUAGUAAUUUCUUGAAGUUAAUUAUCCUUUACAUGGAUAAUCACAAUACUGAAAAAAAGCUAUUAGGUUUAUAUUAGGAAAACACUAGCCUCUCAGAGUCUUGUGGGCUUAAGACUAGAAACAUAUUACAGGGACCCUAAGGCUAAAAGAAACUCUAGAAGGAAGGGCAGAGAUUUGAGCUGUAGACUAAUUAACCCUCAAAUGACUCCAUUUACACAAAGCGAAUUUUAUGGAAAUCUCUAGGAGCAUGGUGGUUGCUCGCUAAAGCUAUGAAGAUACUCAGACCUGAAACUCUCCUUCUAUAGCUUUCUCCUUUCCUUGAAGCUCUUGAAAAGAAUGUUUAGAAUAGAGAAAGGCAGUGAGAUGACUGUGAUUAUCUUUCAAGUCAGAAUAGUCUGCUUUUGUAAGCUUGUAAUUGACCUUUACAGUAUGUGUGUGUGUUUACUAUGCAAGAGCCUUCAUAAAUUUCUUGUUUUCCUUAGAAAAUAUAGCCUUUUAUUUGUUAUGCUGUUUAAUUACUGUAUAUUUGUUAUAGUUGCUAGAGUAAAUAUGUGCAAUCAUAUAAUUAAAUUAGAUCAGUAAUUAUGUGUGAUUGUGAUAUAAAAAUUUCUACUAAGCUUUAUCGAAUGAAAUGUCCUAAACAUACACAUCACAUUCAAAUCUCAGUAGAUGACUUUGCUAAUUUGUUCUUUUUCUAAACCAUGGAAUGAUUACUGUGCUUUCUGUGUUUUUUUAAAAAUUUACCUUUUAUGUAAUAUGUAAGCUUGAAUACAUGUGUUCUCACUGGGUCCCUCUGGAAUAUUGCUUAUUUAAGGUUCAACUUUGGCCAUUUGUGGAAUUGAAUGGUCAGGAGAAGGUGGUAGGUGGUGCCUCAGGGUACUGCUUACUUAGCUGCUUGACAGACGUCCUGGGGAACAAUAAGAGGUGGGUUGACUGGAAGACUAAGGAAGAUAAGCUUAAAGUGUGCAAACACCUUCCAAGGCCAGGAAAGGGACCCCACCCAGGUCUUAGCAAGGUUGUGGAGUUG